CCUACGGGGGGCUGCAGUGGGGAAUAUUGGACAAUGGGCGAAAGCCUGAUCCAGCCAUGCCGCGUGUGUGAAGAAGGCCUUCGGGUUGUAAAGCACUUUCAGUGGGGAAGAAAGCCUUGGGGCUAAUACCCUCGAGGAAGGACAUCACCCACAGAAGAAGCACCGGCUAACUCCGUGCCAGCAGCCGCGGUAAUACGGAGGGUGCGAGCGUUAAUCGGAAUUACUGGGCGUAAAGCGUGCGUAGGCGGUCUGAUAAGCCGGUUGUGAAAGCCCCGGGCUCAACCUGGGAACGGCAUCCGGAACUGUCAGGCUAGAGUGCAGGAGAGGAAGGUAGAAUUCCCGGUGUAGCGGUGAAAUGCGUAGAGGUCGGGAGGAAUACCAGUGGCGAAGGCGGCCUUCUGGACUGACACUGACGCUGAGGUGCGAAAGCGUGGGUAGCAAACAGGAUUAGAUACCCGGGUAGUC
rnacentral:rRNA from 1 species